rnacentral:lncRNA from 1 species
GGGUUCGGGGCGCCGGGUCAUUGUGGGAGGAGGAGAAGAGUAGUCAUGAGGGGUGGAGGUGGAUUGUUGAUUGGGAGGGGAUUAAUUGGUCAUGCAAACAGGAAACGGCGGCGGAGUUGACGGCGGCGGCGAUGGAAACGAAGGUGGUGGCGUGGAGUGGUGUGCAGUCAAGUUGGUGGUGAAAUAUUUAAUUGGGGGAAAUUAUUUUUUUGGUUUUAU